UCGGAGGUAUAAGAAGGCGAAACUACUAAAGCAAAUGGGUUUUCACCGAUACCCGCCUCCAAAAUGAAUUUGGUAGCGUGAACCACCGGAUCUCCAGUCAUAGAUCUUGAGUGCUCUGCACCUACCUACAGAC
rnacentral:scRNA from 1 species